CCCUUAGAUGUUCUGGGCCGCACGCGUGCUACACUGACUGGUGCAUCAAGCCCCCUGGCCCGAAAGGUGCUGGGAAAUCUUUAAAUGCCAGUCGUGCUAGGGAUUGAUCUUUGUAAUUUUGGAUCAUGAACGAGGAAUUCCUUGUAAGCAUAUGUCACCAACGUGUGCUGAAUACGUCCCUGCCCUUUGUACACACCGCCCGUCGCUCCUACCGAUCGAGUGGUCCGGUGAACCUUUUGGACUAAUUACACUUUUGUGUGUUGGGAAUUUAAGUAAAUCUUAUCACUUAGAGGAAGGAGAAGUCGUAACA
rnacentral:rRNA from 1 species